CAGGCGGGUCGGGGCGGGCGAGGCGCAGGGCUCUCCCACACGUCGCGCCGCCAAAGGCAAGUUGGAGGGCGAGAUGCAAAUACCAGACUCAUCACGGAUCCCUCCUGUGCAUGUUUGUGGUUGGAACCAAAGCUGAAGCCUCAAGGCAGAGAAAAGCCAGAACAGAGGUCUUCCUCUUGAGAAGGGCAGGGAGGGAGGACAGCACUGUGCCGACCACCUCAUAGUGACUGGCCCGAAUGUUUGCUGGUGACCUGGAACCCACGGCUUGUGGAAAACCAGGGGCCAGGCUAGAGAGUGGCUGUUCAGGGAAACCCACCGCCAAGGCCCGAGACGCGACUCAAAGUUUCCAUUCUACUGCCCGCGGUUUCAAAGCGUCGUCAACGCAGAGGAAAGACACCCCGCAACCGCAAUCCCUUUGCUGAAGGUGAGCCACCCCGAGCUCGUCGGCGGGGCACAGGAGGUGGCCCGAAGGACUAUUAGAAGCACUCCCGAAACUGCCCCACGCUUAGGCGCUACCGCAGCAAGGUCGGCUCUCGGGAUCUCCCGCCACGUGGGGGUAACGCCAGGCCCCCGAGGCAGUGGGGGUUCUGGCGGCCCCUCCCGCCUCUCCCUGGCCACCCU